GUUUCAGUGCUAGACCGCGGACGGACGAACAGACGGACAUGGCGAAACUAUAAGGGGUCCUUGUUGACUACAGAACCCUAAAAAUAUGGACGUAACUUAAAG